CCCCUCUCUGCCUCCAGAUGACCAGAAAUUCUUGGAGAUUCUCCAGCAUGAAGCAAAAAAAGGGAACUUGUGCUCAUUGUCCUGCACAGCAACCUGGAGACAUCUUUUCUUCUUGAACAUUGGAAAAGGCUUGUGACAUUUAGAGACAGAGAAAUAAAAAUUGUUCUCUGAAGAAUAAUAAGUGAGGCAGUGAUUCUGUUUUCACACCAGAUCCCAGAACACCAGGUCUGGUCAAGCCUGCAGACUCUUUUCUUCUCAUUUGCCUUUAUUUUGAUGGUUUGGGGAAACAUCUUUUAGAGAAGAACAUGUCAUGAACAUGAGAGCACAGACAUCUCUUCCACAGACUGACUUCAAAUCUUUUGAGCAAAUACCCAGGAGUAAGAUUGCCAGAUCAUAUGAGAACCAGGAACCCUGGGAACUUCAUUUCCUAGACUUUCAAGAAGGACUUCAAAGAUUUUAGAUACUUCCAAAAGUAGAAACCAGUAGAAGAAAGUACUGUGCCUCCAGAGAAGACAUGUUUUUCAAAAGCAUCAUGGUGAGGUCGUUUUUACUAAGUUCCAGAGAGUCCUGAAACUUCCUGAUUUCCACAUGCAACUUUCAGCUGUUCCCGAUCCAUUUCUUUUUAAUGAUCAGAAUGGUUUUGCUUUCUUGAUGGACUCCUAAUCGAUACAAUAAAAGAGAAUAAGAAGUAAAUCUGCACUUAAAUGAAUGUAUACACCCAAAUGGUGUCAACUGGGUGGUCCAGAGAAUUGUAAAUCUUGCUAUUGCAGAGUGCACCUGGCUAGAUUUUCAGUGCCCCACAUGCCUGCUCGCUCCCUUAGGGGGAACAGAAAAAAAAUAAAACUUGCAUCUUCUACCUCAAGUUAUUUUCGCAAAUUAUUUUCCCAAAUCAGAAUAUAAUUAAAGAUAACCAAGUACAAGAGAACAAGA
rnacentral:lncRNA from 10 species